GAGACUUAAAGACGAGCAGGCAGACAGGCAUCCAUCCAGCUGCAGUUCAUAGCCGAUGCCCCCGACAAGUAGCAGGCUGGCGACUGAGAAGCUCCCCAGAAGCUACCUUUAAUGCCCAAAGAUUGAUUUAGGCAAUGACACUGCAAUGUACGGAAGGGGAAAAAGGGACGAGAGGAAGGUAUCAAAAAGAGGGAGAUUAUUUCAAUAUUAACUUGAGUGCAGGCAUAAUUCGCUCUCAUUUCUGGCAGGCAAUUGAGCACUCUGCUUCAUAUGCAAAAUCGAGGGUACAUUCUGAUGUAGAUUUCAGAUAGCGGGAAAUGAAGGUAUUUUGUUUUUCUUUUAAAUUGCAUUGGGCAAUUUCCUUUCUUAUAUGAAACGCUGUAGGCUUUGUACAAUUAUUUUAUACGUUAUUACCAUUCUUCUAAAAAGGGACAGCUUUUUUCUUUCCAAUUUAAAGUAGUGGAUAAUGACUUUGGCAGCAUUUUCCUGCCUUUUUCAAGUUUAUGGAACCCAUUCCUCAUCAUUAGGCUGAAGAUGCAGAUAAGAAAGGACGAGCCUUUUUCUGGAGCUUGUCACAUCAAUGUUGCUUCUUAGGUGAUUAAAAAGAAAGCAGCGAGGAUCUUGGAGAAAACGUCUGACAAAAGUUGGAAAAUCCCCACUGAAUGAAUUUUUUUGAAAAAGUAAAUGUAUCCUGGGAACAUGCCGUUCAGGAUUUUGGAAAAGGAACUUCAAACGAAAUUGAAGGAGACAUGCAUACAAGGAGAAUGCCAGGUGAACGUGAAGACCAUCAUUUGCAAGCCAAGAGAGGCCUGGAGCAGAUCCUUCAGAGCCCUCAGAAGGGACCAACCCUGCUGGCACCUUGAUUUUGGACUUCCAGCCUCCAGAACUAAGAACUUGAUGUAUACCUCCUGACCUGUUCAUCUUGUAGCUGCCUCUUGACAGGUUGCUGACUUCGCCUGGAGGGACUCUAUCAGAUGGAAUCUCCCUCUGUCAUCCCGGCUGGAGUGCAAUGGUGCGUUCUUGGCUCACUGCAACCUCUAUCUCGCAGGCUCAAGUAAUCCUCCCACUUCAGCCUAUUGAGUAACUGGGACCACAGGUGCACACCAUCAUGCCAGGAGAAACAAAUGCCAAACAGUGAAGGUCAAGAAGGCCAUAGUGAUAUAUGCAAGUUCAAAAAGUGGAAGAAGCUUUUACACAGAGAAAUAUCAAUCAGCCAGCUUUUCAUGGCUGAUGCCUGAAAAUAUCAUCCACCUGUGUCUCUGAGCAUACUUUGGCUUUGACUCCUAGUGAUAUUACAUGUAAUGUCAUGGCUAGAUAUUUCAAUUUCAGAAACAAAUGAUUCCACUGAAUAGUAAGACAUUUGCCAACUGGACAAUAAUUCAUAAGGAGAGGGUUCAGAAACUGUAAGUUUUAUUAUGAAAAGGUAAGGAAAUCCAACCCUAGAUGGAGGUAACUUGGAAAGAAUGAUUGGUUAUUUUGUAUAACUCUAAAGGGCAUAACUAGGACUAACAAGUCAAAGCUUUCAGGAAGAAAAUUUCUAUAUAAUGUGCAGAAAUUUCAAACAGUUGAUCAGUUGCUUUUGUUAUUAUUGUUAGAGACAGGAUCUCACUAUGUUGCCCAGGCUUGAUUCUAACCUCCCCCACUGCCAACCCCCCGGCUCAAGCAAUCCUACUGCCUUAGCCUCUUGAGUAGCUGGGACUACGGGCACACACACACACACCACUGCACCAGGUAAAUUUCUAACAACUCAAAGUGUUAUAAAGGAAUAGGUCGCCUAGUAGCAUGGUCAGCGGUGUCUGUAAGACUUCUCGUCAGUCAGGCUGCGGUAUGGGAUUGAAGUGGAAGAUCACUAAGAAAUGGAGGGAAUGAAUUUCAGAAUGGGUGGGGGGUUUCAGGGUGUUGGGUCAAUAGCUGUCUUAUCAAUGGAGCUGAGAAUGAAAACCUAGGAAAAGUGACACUGGCUCUAGAAGGGAACUGGGCCAUCUGCCUUAUAGACCAUCUGCUAAUUUGUUGCUCAUUUAUUGGUGAAACUUGGGAAGGUAAUGGAUAUGUAUGAGCUCUCUCAGAACUUGCCUUGUUGCCUAAUGGAUAUCUUUGACUUUUCCAACUCCAAGUAUCUGUAAAAGUUCCUAAUUUCCUCAUAGACUUGUAAAACCACUCAAACCCACCAGGCCCUUAUUCUGUUUCCAAGAUCACCUUUCAGGUGUCACCGUGUUGACAAGUUAUUUGGAGCUCUAUUGACCUUGUCUCAUUAUUGGAACUUUUCUAAUAUCUUGAAUGCAGAUGGAAGGAAAGGAGACAAUAACAACAAAAAAUAAAACUGCAACAGCAUGAUUUAUUAUAGUAUAUAUUUCUCAGAAGAGACAAAAACAGCAUCAAUGAAGAGCAAUCAUAGAAGGUUCACAGUUGCCUCAGAACCAAUUCAACAAUUCAUAGGGGGUUGGCAUCACAUAAACAGCUGGGAAAAAGCAGUUAAAUGAUUUUCUACAUGCUCUUAGGGAGAGACUGUGUCUAAUCUGAUGCAGUUGCUCCAAAGGAGCGCAGCUAAUGACAUCUACACCAA
ensembl:lncRNA novel transcript